AUCAGAUUAGCUAGUUGGUGGGGUAAAAGCCCACCAAGGCGACGAUCUGUAGCUGGUCUGAGAGGACGACCAGCCACACUGGGACUGAGACACGGCCCAGACUCCUACGGGAGGCAGCAGUGGGGAAUUUUGGACAAUGGGCGCAAGCCUGAUCCAGCAAUGCCGCGUGCAGGAUGAAGGCCUUCGGGUUGUAAACUGCUUUUGUACGGAGCGAAAAGGCUUCUUCUAAUACAGGAGGCUCAUGACGGUACCGUAAGAAUAAGCACCGGCUAACUACGUGCCAGCAGCCGCGGUAAUACGUAGGGUGCAAGCGUUAAUCGGAAUUACUGGGCGUAAAGCGUGCGCAGGCGGUUAUAUAAGUCAGAUGUGAAAUCCCCGGGCUCAACCUGGGACCUGCAUUUGAGACUGUAUAGCUAGAGUACGGUAGAGGGGGAUGGAAUUCCGCGUGUAGCAGUGAAAUGCGUAGAUAUGCGGAGGAACACCGAUGGCGAAAGCAAUCCCCUGGACCUGUACUGACGCUCAUGCACGAAAGCGUGGGGAGCA
rnacentral:rRNA from 1 species